UGGUCUUAGCUUGCUAAGGCUGAUGGCGACCGGCGCACGGGUGAGUAACACGUAUCCAACCUGCCGUCUACUCUUGGCCAGCCUUCUGAAAGGAAGAUUAAUCCAGGAUGGGAUCAUGAGUUCACAUGUCCGCAUGAUUAAAGGUAUUUUCCGGUAGACGAUGGGGAUGCGUUCCAUUAGAUAGUAGGCGGGGUAACGGNCCACCUAGUCAACGAUGGAUAGGGGUUCUGAGAGGAAGGUCCCCCACAUUGGAACUGAGACACGGUCCAAACUCCUACGGGAGGCAGCAGUGAGGAAUAUUGGUCAAUGGGCGAUGGCCUGAACCAGCCAAGUAGCGUGAAGGAUGACUGCCCUAUGGGUUGUAAACUUCUUUUAUAAAGGAAUAAAGUCGGGUAUGCAUACCCGUUUGCAUGUACUUUAUGAAUAAGGAUCGGCUAACUCCGUGCCAGCAGCCGCGGUAAUACGGAGGAUCCGAGCGUUAUCCGGAUUUAUUGGGUUUAAAGGGAGCGUAGAUGGAUGUUUAAGUCAGUUGUGAAAGUUUGCGGCUCAACCGUAAAAUUGCAGUUGAUACUGGAUGUCUUGAGUGCAGUUGAGGCAGGCGGAAUUCGUGGUGUAGCGGUGAAAUGCUUAGAUAUCACGAAGAACUCCGAUUGCGAAGGCAGCCUGCUAAGCUGCAACUGA
rnacentral:rRNA from 1 species